UCUAGGGUGGAACAACUUUGACACAAAGUAGGCAAGGUGGAGAAGUGGGCACGCAUGCCAAAAUUUUGACAGCUUAUUACAUUGUUUACGUUUUGUGUCAAAGAAAAUCAACGAAAAGUAUGACGAAAAAGUCGUGCUUUGGUAGUGGUGUUUUAUAUGACGUCACCACCAACUUGAUGUAAAUCUUUUUUGUUUUUGUUUUACAACAAACAACAGUGACUGUAAUGCCAAAACGGAAAAACAAUCUCCUAGCUCCUCGGGCAAAAGUCGUGAAGCCCGAUCUCCAAGCACUGCCUCCAGCAGCAGUUCCUCCUCAACGCCCUCCCUACUGAAGCAGAAAGUUAAACUGGAACCAGAAUUUUUACCAACCAUUCCCCAAUUAUCGCCCGAUACCGCUGAACCAGGUCGUGAUGGAUUGUGUAUUUUCCAACAACUUGACCACUUGAUACUUGUACUAUCAGUGAGUUAAGUAUAGGAACUUUCGUCUAAUACUCCAAGGCAACCUGCAAAACACUUUAUCUGUUGGACCCCCUCCGCAUCAACCCGGAGCUGAUCGAGCACAUCCUACGAUUUAACGUCGAUGGCGAUCAUCAGUGGCCCCAGGAGGGAACGAUUCUCAUCUUCCUCCCCGGGCUGGAAGAGGUCAAGAACGUUCACGAAGCCCUGCUGGAUAGUCGCAUGUUUGGCCCCCGAGAGGAUCGCUUCCUGCUGAUACCGUUGCACUCGACGCUGUGCAGCGAGGAACAGGCCCAGGUGUUCCGAAAAACUCCCAAGGGAAAAGGAAAAUUAUGCUGAGUACCAACAUCGCUGAAACUUCGGGUACCAUUGACCAUUGACGACCACCUAGUGAUGAGAACAUUGAUGCCGCCAAGAAACAACUGACUGCUUCGGGUCAUCAUUUAGCAGCAUUAUCGGUAGAUGUGCGGAUAGGAAAGCUCAUGCUGUUUGGAGCUAUUUUUCAGUGCCUGGAUAGUGUGCUAACGAUAGCGACUUGUUUUAGCUACAAGAGUCCGUUUGUGUCUCCCUUCAACAAAAGGAACGAACCAGAAAGUAGAAAGCGGCUGUUCGGUAUUGCGAAUAGCAAUCAUUUGACGAUGCUUAAUGAUUACAGGAAAUGGAAGGAGACUUCGAAGCGCAGUCGAUAUGCGACCAACUGUUUUGCCGAAGAGAAUUACCUGUCGACCAAAACGCUUCACACGAUCGAUGAAAUGAAGCAACAGUUCUUGGAAUUGCUGGUGUCCAUUGGAUUUGUUCCACUAGAUUUGAGUAGUCAUCGGGGGAAAUUUAUUAAAGAUGAGCUACAAGUAGCUUACCGGAACGGAAAUAAAUUCUAACGGAGAGAAUAACCGGCUCCUAGCGGCCAUCCUAUCCGCUGCCCUCUACCCAAACGUCAUAAACCCAGAGAAAAGUUUCAUCAGUGGAGCGAGUGGUGCGGUACCCAAACUGCCUCAACCGUCCGAUCUUCGUUUUAAAACCCAACAGGAUGGAUACGUUUUCUUUUAUCCGUCCUCGAUAAAUGCCACAUGUGGCCACUUCAAUUCCACGUACCUGGUCUACCAGAAAAAAAGUUAAAACGUCCCGGAUCUACAUUCGGGAAACCACAACGGUUCCGCUGCUGCCGAUGGUCCUGUUCUCGGGCAGCGAUCUGCAGAUAGAACUGUACUGGAUGGUGGAUUGAGCUGCAGGCGGAAAUGAUGAAAUUCUUACGCCUCGAGCUGGCUAAAAUUUUGGAGCUUAAAAUUUCCGAUCCGUAACACUAGGUUACAGCUGUUGUACUUUAGAAGAAAAGGAAUAAAUGUUACAUGUUUGUAUUUAAAAGAAUAUUUCCUAAUACAUACAAUGUAAAGCUAUAACGAGCCAAACUCGUUUUGCAUUUUUACAAUUUUGGUAUGCUUAGCUUAACACUUGUUUAGAAGAGAAAGAAGGAUAGAAAGAGAAAUAUGAAAAUAAAAAGAAUUACAGAUGAA